rnacentral:tRNA from 1 species
AGGACCUUAAGUUAAAUAAACUACUGACCUUCAAAGUCAAAAAUAAUCGCUAUUAGAUCUUA